GUCUUUUUGUAUUUAAUAUAAAGUCUAACCUGCCCAUUGAAUAAUUUUAAAAGGCUGCGGUAUUUUGACCGUACAAAGGUAGCAUAGUCAUUAGUUUUUUAAUUGGAAACUUGUAUGAAUGGUUGAAUGAAAAAUUAACUUUUUUAAAAAAAACAUUGAAUUUUACUUUUUAAUUAAAAGGUUAAAAUUUAUUUAAAAGACGAGAAGACCCUAUAGAGUUUUAUAUUUUUUGUUAUAAUUUUUAAUAAGUUUAUUUAAAAUUUUUUAAUAAAUAUUAUUUUGUUGGGGUGAUAAUAAAAUUUAAUUAACUUUUAUUUAUUAUUUACAUUAAUAUAUGAUUUUUUGAUCCAUUAUUAUUGAUUAAAAGUUUAAAUUACCUUAGGGAUAACAGCGUAAUUUUUUUUUAAGUUCUUAUUAAUAAAAAAUUUUGCGACCUCGAUGUUGGAUUAAGAUUUAAUUUUAGGUGCAGCAGUUUAAAGUUUAAGUCUGUUCGACUUUUAAAUUCUU
rnacentral:rRNA from 1 species